CUCCUCUAGUAAUCUUGCCUCACGAUGACAACGACUUAGGGAGAGAGAUGGUGCGAUGAUGCUGCAGCAAGCCGCUCGUCACGGUUGUCAUGGCAACCAAGAUAUGGUCCCCUGUGGUCCAGCAACGCAGAUGCAAAAGGUGGAAAUAUACAUCAUGAUCCACUCAACAAUAACAACCACAAAAAAAGGGCUGGAAACUUGUACGGACUUUUUUCAGAAUUAAGACAGAUCCACAGAGUGCACUAAGUGACUACUUAUGUGCUUACGACAACCUUUAAACAAGACUUUGUUUCUGGAUCCAGACAGUCACGUAUAAGAGAGGAGAAAAUAGAAAAAAAAAUCCAUGCAAGCAAAAGCAGAAUAAAAGCAAACAUCCAGUUAAUUUCAGAAUUGCUCCCAGCUAUUCCCAAACCGGACCCUGGAGUGACAGAAGCACCAGCCAAUGGAGCACCAAGAUAGAGACAUUUCAUCAUCGGGGCUCUCUUUAAUUAGUUGAUCCUUCCUUGAGAGCAGGGCCAAUGCCUCCUAGCAACGCCAGAGCACAGCAGCCUUUUGCGAAACAGCCUUCCCUUAACCCUGUCAUGGGUGGCAGAAGCAAACCAGCAAACAAAGGCUGGAAAAAAAGUGAGACGCCUGGAUCUUUCAGGCUGCUUUACUUAAGCGCAUCCUCUGAACUGUUCUAUCCUUUCUGCUUUUAUAUUGCAAUAAAAUUGCAGUGCUAAUUUUAAAGAGGAAUGAGAAAAGACGUGAAAGACUAAAAAUAUAGAAAUUAAUUUUGAAACUGGUGAUGGCUCAGUGGGAUUGGAAAAACACCUUUCUCCAAAAUAAUAAUAGGAAGUGUCACAACUAGGCACUAGAAGUGGAGGAUUGUACAAUUUUCCCCAUGAAAUGACUCCCCCGCAAACACACUUUAGGAUAAUUUUCAAACACAUCAAAAGUAUUGAGAAACCCGGGGAGAUUUCUUUUUAUUUGCCUUGCUAUUCCAGCAUGGAAAUUGCUCAGUUCCUCAGAGGUACAUUGUGGAAUUAACACAGUUUAAUGCUACUUGGAACUGCCAUAGUUGAAUGUAAUGGAAUCAUGGGAAUGUAGUUUUACAAAGUCUUGAGCCUUCUCUGUCUAAGAGUGCCAGUGCCUCAUGAAACUACAGCUCCCAUGAUUCCACUGCAUUGAGCAGUUAAAUUGCUGUCAAAUUUAAUCGAUUCUACAAUGUUGAUGCAGUCCAAAAUUUGGUUGUUCGAUGACACCUGCUUGUGAUGGCAUUCUGGACCACGUAGAGUGGGAUGGACUAAAAAGAGUUUAAGAUAUCUCUGGAAGAUCUUAAUCUCUGUGGCGGUUCAUACCUGUCCAAUGAUUUUCCUGUGUGGCUGUGCAAUCACAGAACAAAAAUAUGUGAAUCUGCUAAAUAUCAAACUGGCCCACAGCCCUUUAAACACAGCAGUGUUCAAAGGAAUCUGUGUGUGCAUUCAGCUGUGAGUUAUCAGAUGUUCAGUCCUCAGGUGAUGAAAGAUUGAAUACCUAGUUACACAGGUAAACCAGCCCUCUGACUCCAGUGUUAAAAGAGAUACUGACAUAGGCUCCUUUUGCAAACCCAUUUUUUUUAGAACUAGGAAGUAA